CACUUGGAACGUCAUUAACAUCUGUCAUGCAAUAUUUUUGCUCCCUAUUGUCCGUGGUCGCAAAUGUAGGCGGAGUAAAUUUUAAUUUUUAGUUUAUUAGCCGUUCUCGUUCCACUUUUCGAUAAUAUUCUUUUAUUUUCUACCACCGCGCCGAGUGUUGUAUUUUCGCUAAAGUAUAAAACAGUGAUGUGAAUUGUGUAUUUAAAUCAGUGCCUUUCUUUUGAUAUGCUUUUGUGAUUAUGAUGUCAUAUUUCUGUUUAGAUUCUUGAAAAAUGAGUGUUAGUGUCGAGCUGGACGUGUCCAGUCCCUUGUCCGAAGGGCAAAGCGCUAAUUCUGAAGAAAUAUCUAAAUCUUCCGAGAGUUCAACCAAAGACCUUGGUUCAAAUUGUAAUAAUGAUAAAUCCGAGCCUGGUUCUCCCAAACCUCAUCCGAUGGCGUUCACGAUCGACUUCGGCGAGGCUAAGAAGGUUGACAACCGUAGACUUGAGGAAUUGGCUAAAAAAUCGCAAGCAAGACAUCAAAGGGUACAAUCGAUGUCUGCUAGUAUAACUAAACCCGCUUCAGCCCCUCAGAAAACUCCAAUGAGCGCGAAACUCCCUAGGAAAGCCCAAGGUUACAAUUCUGAGGGUUAUUUCUCAUCCGAUCAAGAAGAUAGUGGCUUAUCCGGUUCGGUUAAACUCCGGAGUAGUCCAUUAGCUCAAUCCACUCAAAUCACUUCUCCAAUAAUUAAUAGACAUGUCAAAUCGCCCAUUAUAGACAGCUUCCAGCCAAAAAGAACGUCCAAAAGUCCAAUUGUUGAUAGUAUUAUGUCCAGAAGUGAAAAUUAUACUACAAGACAAGAUCUGCGAUUGCCGUUGAAAAAUGCAGCAAGUUCCUAUUUGCGAGACGUCCAUAGAACGCCUAGUUACGGUAACUUAUCCUCUAGUUAUCAACAAAAACAUAAUAUAUCAGAUAUUGUUGAUCAAAGUCCUGAUGGAAUGAUGCUAACAGAUAUCUCAAGUCCAGAACUCGACAUUCUGACCCCUGAUAAUGGUUUAUCCACCCCAGAAUUGUCAAAAAGCCCAUUAAUAAGAAAAACCAGGGCUACAUCUGAAACACCAGAUUUGUUCAAGAAAUGCGUACCCAAAGUUGAGCCUUUGUACGUAGAUGAUGAUAUAGAUGGACAGUCUAAUAAUUCUUCUACUGGUACGUACACAAUUGAAGGUGAUAACUAUACUGAAGAGCAAAAAGAAAGAAUGAGCAUCGACCGUACAUUCGGAACAGACUUAUUAACCAAUGCAAUAGAAGAGACAAUAAAUAAACGCAAUGAUAGGGAUCCAGAACUAGUAUUUGACAUGCCUAACCAACGAGUUAUAACGAAAGAGCCACGAAGAGAUGUUGCAUUAAGAAGUCCGUUAACAAACAAAACAUUUGACUUACCAAAAGUGUCCAAAGAAAAGAAUGUACUAGAAAUAUCCUGCUGUUACGAAUCACCCAAUGAGAGCGAUUUGGCUGCUCAAACUUCGAAACAGAUAAAAUCAACCAGGAGUUACUUAGAGAAAAUCAAAAAUAGAGUACGAACUAUAACAGAAAAGACAUUCACUAAACCUCCAUGUAAGCAAGAAGACGCAGAUGUGGGCAGUUUCACAUCUGUGACAACAUCGGGCGUUCUAAGUUCAAAAAACCCGGUAAAAAUCGAAGCGCCAAUGAGAAGGCGUUGCAGUUUGACAAAAUCGGAAAUAGACAAAACGGAUUACGUGCACAGAUUAUCAAGGGAGUCUUCCGUGCCAGUGUCGUUGCCCACCGCUAGACUUUCAGAGGAAAAAUAUGAGAGUACUGUAAUGAAGAAUGCUCAAAGAGCGGUCAAAGAUGUGACGGCGGAACAGGUCGUGGGCAAGCUGUCGUAUUUGAGCCUGAACAGGUGUAAAGGUGAUAAGACCUGGAUCCAGGAUUGGGCGGAGAGUGUGAAGAAAUACAAUGGGUUGGAUGAGGUUCCGUGUGACGAUAGACCGCCGAUUAGCCCGCGACAUGUGACUGGGAAGCCACCUAGCCCACACGGCGGCGGCUCUCCCACUAAAAUUCCAAGUCCCGUGGGUACUAUGAUGCAUAGAAGGACGCCGGAUCUAAUUCCAGUGCAGGACACGGAAUCGUACUUACUUAAAACUCAAAACGCGAUAUGCAAUCUGCAAGCGAAAUUGCAAUCAUCCAGAACUAAUAAUUUCUCGAACAUUCCAUCAACACUCACCUCGAGUUUGAUAAGCGAAAAAACCGCUAUUUCUCGCCUGCCAGUGUCCCAACUAAGUCGCUCAAACUCGCUGAAUUAUCGGCUCAGACGCAAAGACAACUCGAACGAUAGCAGUCCUUUAAGAAGCCCGGGGCAUUACGUCAUCACUGGCUCAGCGAAAAUUCCAGAAAGCACCCGAAUCUUCCACAAUUCCGCUUCGAGAUCGCUUGAUACGGAAAGGAGGAAACAUGAUUCAAACAUGAACAGCCCCUGUUCCGAAAGAGGUCUGCUAAGCAACAGUUCUGAUGACAAAACUUUAUCUAACAGGCCUAAUUACGAUGUAGAAGCCAUCUUAUCACCUCACAGAAAAACGCACGCGCGGCACAAAACGUUCGACAUUAAAAACGAAUUUUUCGGCCCCGAUUUCAGUAAUGCGAAUCGUACAGUUUGUCUCAAGACUGUUCUAAAGAAUAACGCCAUGGAAACUAAAAGUCCUAAGAUUGAUCAAACCCGUUGUCAAGGAGAUAAGACGCAUCAAAGAGUUUAUAGUGAUGGCAGAAAACCCAAUACAGUCGCGUUCGGCAGUUCAAUAAAGAGAUCUAGUUCCUUCAACAUUGUAAAUAAAAACAAUAAUUAUAUCGAUCCUAGAUUGAUAUCAAGACGUUCUAGCGGUCAUUCUGAAGAGUAUAAAGAUUAUUUGUCAGAUGAUUCUGAAGUUUCCCUUGAUAAGUCUCAAGAUGUUAGAUAUAAAAGGGUGCACAGAGGUAGAAUUGAUUCACCAGAUUUGAAAUCCAUCGCGCCGGCUAAUUCGCCGCGCUGUCCUAAUACGCCCGAAAUGCAAAGAAAAUUCGGGCCGGGAUUGGUUAGGAAUUCGGUUAGGGUGACCAAUAAGGAGCGAGGAUUGAAUACGCGGAUGUCUGAACCGCCAAUCGCGAGGGAGGAGAGGAAACCGGCCAAUCAUCAGAGCAGAAGGAUAUCUGACCCGACGAGACAGCAAGUUCUUAAUAGACUGACCAAAUCCAGGUCUUCCACGAGGGAGUUUCAGCCUAAGAAUCAAGAAAAAGGUCAAAAAAAGCCCGCCCAGUACAGAUCUUCGUCAGCGUUAGCCUCGAAGGAGGCUGAAUACACCAAUUGGAAGAAGAGGUCUUCCUAUGACCCUAUGAAGGCUGCGCAGGAGGGUAGGAGACGGCAGAUGAUGACAAAGAGGCAAGAUAAUAAAGAUGAUCUCAGUUCGCCGAGCCACUCGUCUCCAGUCCACCGCUCCCAGUCUUUUCACAGCAGCAACGUUCAGCUAGGGCUGGACUACUCCUCAGAGGAGGAGGCCACCCUGCCAGCGGAUCCAAUGAUAACGUCCACGCAUUCCGAUAUCCUGGACCUGAGGGAACGGAGACAGUUGCCUGGAGGUGACGGCUUUAAGAUAAACCAGUUAAUGCAAAAGCCGAAACGUCAUAGCGCGGACAAGCGGAAAACUUACAUAAUAGACGACAUAACACCGACCAAAGAGAACAUAGACUUUCUGCCGAAGCAUAGAGAAGAGGUCAUAGACAAGAGGAAAACGUUCAUAUUGGACAGCGACACUAAUUCUACAACGAAUGGCAGCAGCCCGAGAAACUCUAGCAUAUUCAGUCAUGAGAAACAUUCGCUUACUACCGGCACUAGCGACACAGAAGGGGAGAGUGGUACUGAAAGCGCGCCCGUGGUACUACGCAACAAGCGGGCCCCCGCCACCAAGCAGAGAUACAGCGGUGACUUUUCAAUGUCAUCGUCGACGACCUCCAUAGGACAAAAGCGGCCGAAGGAGAUCCAGCCACGCUAUCUAGACAUAUCUAAAUAUAAAACUGAGAAUAAUGGGAAAACUUUCUUAAGGAGGGACCCCAGUAAGACCUAUGUCGGUGUUUUGGGGGAAAAAGUCAGUAAGGGGAGCGCUCAGCAGAUUGAAAUGGAACAAAAGAAACAAGAAUUAGAAAAAUGGAAACGACGAGCGUCGUACGAUCCGAGGAAAGCCGCAGCGCAAGCCAAAACCAACAAGACACCGCCCAAAACGGCCAGAGCGUGAGGGAUGACAAAUGCAUGCAAUUCUGGCCAAAGUGAAACCGGGGCGGCCAACUAGUACGCAAUUUGAGCAGCGUUCUUCGCUCCCAGUCGUUCCACGGGCCCGUCUUAGCGUCGACUAGCCUACGGUACCAGCCGCCCACGCAGAUCACAGAGAACUACGACCAAACGAGCGACAACGACUUUUAAAACGUCUUGUCGUGACAGAUUUGAGAGUGUAUUGAUAGGCGAUAUAAGAAGUGGGAUGUGAUCGUGAAACUGAUCCCACUAUUGAUAUCGGGUCGAUAAAGUAUGUUAAUUUUGUCGUAUAUGCCUUUCUUCUCUUUAAUCAAGAAUUUACAAUUAAAAUCAAACGUAUUUUUUUUAUCUUUGACCAGAUUGAUGUUAAUCGUCGAUGUACCUUUUUUAUAUUUUGAAAAAGCUCCAAAAUAUUUAAAAACAUUACAUAAAAGUAAAGAGAUCUAGUGGUUAAUGUGUACAAUUUGAAGAUACGUGUGUCAAAAUGCCUGGGUUGGAAACGCACUGCGGACCAAUAUUGACUGUGGGAAAAUAUUGAAGCAACUGUAUUUUUAACUAAGAUCCAGGCUUAAUUAGGUAAAUCUGAAUCAAAUGUUUUUUAAGACGCUAUCGUAACUCUCAAAUUUGUUGCUUACGAGACAUAAAAGAGACGAAAGUCGACGGUAAAUGUGAUAAUGGAGUGUGAAUGUCCGAAUUUUUAUAUUGAUUAUAUUGUCUAUGGUAUCAUUAAAGUUAAGGGUAUGUGCGCUUAUUGUUAUUGGCUAUAAAGUAGAGCGUUUUCUCUUGGCAUUUUUUUGGCUGUUUGCAAAACUAUAUACCUUUGCUAAACGUUUGACAAAUGUCAAUUUACGCGCCAAAAGUUUGUUGUUGCGCCAAUUUUGUUCAAAUUUCGAAGUUAGUCAUAUUGUUGUUUUAUAAUUGACUUUUAUAAUAGGUACCUAAGUAAACAUAUGGAUUUGGGUCGAUGCAAUGUUUAGUUUUAUAAUAAUUGUAAUUUUUUUUUCUCAUAAUAAUAUGUACUGAUUGAUGCACAAUAUAUUUUUACCCAAAUUCCAAUUCGAUAUUAAUGGAUUUAUGGUAUUUACAAUAAUUUGUCAUACUUUUGUAAAUUAAUAUCUUCCUUUUAUAGAUUUUAAAUGGAAAUUAAUUACUUGUUAUGUGAUAAUUGUAGAAUUAUACAAUUAAUGUAUCAUUAUCCAAGGUAAGGUUUAUUUUGUAUUAUUUAAUAUGCUUUAAAUGCGGUAUUAUUUCGAAAUUUAUAUCCAAAUAGUUGCUCAUUUCGUCCCGUACAUCGAUUUAGUGAUUAAGUUUAUAUAUUUUUUGUAGGUUAUUAUAUUAUUUUUCAUUUAUUCUUUAUUUUUAGUGCAAUAUAAACAUCACACAGACCGCAAUGUAUAAAAAUCAUUAAAUUAUAAGUCGCAUACAAUGGAAUAUAGUUCAUAGAUAAAUUCAUAGAUUUAAUAUUAUAUUCAAAUCAAAGAUUAAGUUUUGAAAAAUAAAGACAACCCCCGUGGUAUAAUCUCAGGGGACUGUGAUUCGAUACCGUUCAGAAAAAUAUUUAUUUAUUUACGAUACAAGUAAGAGCAAGAUAUGUCGAUGAAAAUUAUUCUAUUGAGGUCAUCUAAAUCAGUUUCAUUUUAAAUUUAAUUGAAAUGAUACCUUAUUUAAAUAAAAUUGAAAAUGUACUUUCUUAUAAAAAUGUCUAGUUUUUUUGGUCUUAUUAUGAACGCGUCUGCUUUCUCUUACUGUCUGUUUUAUCAGAGAUUUUCCAUUCAUAGUAUAUAAUUCAUUUCGUAAAUCUAUGAGAAUUAAUGUUUAGUUUUGAGAGAUCAAAGCUUUUAGCGACACGAAACGGACAAAAUAUAUUUAAUCGUUACAUAAAUAUUGGUUAUUUUUACGACAGGAACAAAAUAUAUUUUGUUAUGAAAUUGUUAUAAUUGUGUUAAAGUCAUUGAAAAUACUCAAUAUUUUGUUUUCAUGAAGUGUAGGUGUAGCCUGUAAACUUAAAAAAAAGAAAAAAUAUGCGUUUGAUAUCACAUGUCAAAUGUCAAUUUACGCGCCAAAAAUUUAAUUUAGUGUAAAGUAAAUUUUGCUAAUAAUAAAAAGUGAAGUGUGUAUAAAAAAUAUUGGCAUAAGUUUGCAAGUAAUAAAUAUUCCAAUAUCAACAUUGUUUCUAUAGACUAUGUUUAUGAUAUAAUAACUUUUUAUGGCGAAUAAUAUAUUUUUUUCAUAAUAUACUUACAGAUAUAGCUUUCGUAUCUAUUUUCCUUGAAAUAGUGUCUUGAUUUUAUAUUCUUAUAUUUGUUUGUAAAAUAUAUAUUUUCGUCAUUAUCGAUAAUGAAAUUGCGAAAUAGGUAUCAAUAUUUACAUCUUUAUUUACAAACGAAGAUUUAUUAGGUUUCAUAGCGAAAGUAAAAAGUUAUCGAUCGUAAUGUAUUCGUAAAAAAAUAUUACACUGAAAAAUUUUCUGAGAAAAUUCGACUUUUUAAAUUGUUUGGGUUGACAUUUUAUAUAAUGUAAAGCAUGUUAAAAUGUUUGUGUUGUCCGGUUAAUGUUAAUUUAGCCCGUCCUGUUAGCUUUGGCCGUGUUAUAGAGAAGCUUCAUAAGUUGCAAUGUAAAAAUCUCGAUGCGAGCGUAGAUUUAUGUUGUAAGCUCUAUUGAUGUUUAGAAUUUCGUAUAAAAUAUUUAUCAGAAAAAUAAUAAAAAGCAGUAUAAAAUA